AAUUGGUGGUGUAGGGGUAAAAUCCGUAGAUAUCACCAAGAAUACCCAUUGCGAAGGCGAUCUGCUGGAACUCAACUGACGCUAAGGCGCGAAAGCGUGGGGAGCAAACAGGAUUAGAUACCCUGGUAGUCCACGCCCUAAACGAUGUACACUAGUUGUUGGGGUGCUAGUCAUCUCAGUAAUGCAGCUAACGCAUUAAGUGUACCGCCUGGGGAGUACGGUCGCAAGAUUAAAACUCAAAGGAAUAGACGGGGACCCGCACAAGCGGUGGAGCAUGUGGUUUAAUUCGAAGAUACGCGAAGAACCUUACCUGGGCUUGAUAUCCUAAGAACCUUAUAGAGAUAUGAGGGUGCUAGCUUGCUAGAACUUAGAGACAGGUGCUGCACGGCUGUCGUCAGCUCGUGUCGUGAGAUGUUGGGUUAAGUCCCGCAACGAGCGCAACCCACGUAUUUAGUUGCUAACGGUUCGGCCGAGCACUCUAAAUAGACUGCCUUCGUAAGGAGGAGGAAGGUGUGGACGACGUCAAGUCAUCAUGGCCCUUAUGCCCAGGGCGACACACGUGCUACAAUGGCAUAUACAAUGAGACGCAAUACCGCGAGGUGGAGCAAAUCUAUAAAAUAUGUCCCAGUUCGGAUUGUUCUCUGCAACUCGAGAGCAUGAAGCCGGAAUCGCUAGUAAUCGUAGAUCAGCCAUGCUACGGUGAAUACGUUCCCGGGUCUUGUACUCACCGCCCGUCACACCAUGGGAGUUGAUUUCACUCGAAGCCGGAAUACUAAACUAGUUACCGUCCACAGUGGAAUCAGCGACUGGGGUGAAGUCGUAACAAGGUAACCGUAGGAGAACCUGCGGUUGGAUCACCUCCUUUCUA
rnacentral:rRNA from 1 species